rnacentral:rRNA from 1 species
GAUGAACGCUGGCGGCGUGCCUAAUACAUGCAAGUCGAGCGAACAGACGAGGAGCUUGCUCCUCUGACGUUAGCGGCGGACGGGUGAGUAACACGUGGAUAACCUACCUAUAAGACUGGGAUAACUUCGGGAAACCGGAGCUAAUACCGGAUAAUAUAUUGAACCGCAUGGUUCAAUAGUGAAAGACGGUUUUGCUGUCACUUAUAGAUGGAUCCGCGCCGCAUUAGCUAGUUGGUAAGGUAACGGCUUACCAAGGCGACGAUGCGUAGCCGACCUGAGAGGGUGAUCGGCCACACUGGAACUGAGACACGGUCCAGACUCCUACGGGAGGCAGCAGUAGGGAAUCCUCCGCAAUGGGCGAAAGCCUGACGGAGCAACGCCGCGUGAGUGAUGAAGGUCUUCGGAUCGUAAAACUCUGUUAUUAGGGAAGAACAAAUGUGUAAGUAACUAUACACGUCUUGACGGUACCUAAUCAGAAAGCCACGGCUAACUACGUG